rnacentral:ncRNA from 1 species
GUGUUGCGUGAGAGGAGGGAAGGUCAACCCUGCCCUUGAGAUGGACGGAAGAGGUCCCAGUGCAGCCCACACACGGUUAAGGCAUCGCCACCUACCUCAUGGCAUCCAACCGAGAUCUUCC